GUCGUCGCGUCUCAAGCAAUCCCCCCUCUCGGCCGCCCGCCCAUUUCUCCUCCCCGCUCCCCGCCGCCUCCGCGACGGUUUUCGCCAGUCACGUGACGCGGCUCGGAUGACCCGGCACCACCGAGACUGCUCGCUGUUCUCCUAGAAGGGCCCUUGGAGGCGCCCGCUCUUCCAGUCUCAGCCGGAAGACGACGCCGGCACGUCGUCCUCAGGGAACGGGGGGCGGGCGUCCCCUCAGAGGUCGGCGCUCUCUCCGCGGAAGGCGGCCAUCUCUAUGGUUCUUCAUAGUAAGCAUUCAACCAACUUGACAUCGGGGGACCCCAGGUUCCUGAAAAGUUGACAGUGGGCUUCCAUAUCACUGACUGGACUUCAGAGAAGGAAGUCCCCGCCAACCAGAAUGGAAGCUCCCAGGCCAUGGAGUGAAAGAUCUGUCAGCUGCAGCCCUGGUGCCCAGCCC
ensembl:lncRNA